UACGUAGGGUGCGAGCGUUAAUCGGAAUUACUGGGCGUAAAGCGUGCGCAGGCGGUUCGUUGUGUCCGAUGUGAAAGCCCCGGGCUUAACCUGGGAAUGGCAUUGGAAACUGCCUGACUUGAGUCCGGUAGGGGCGAGUGGAAUUCCUGGUGUAGCGGUGAAAUGCGCAGAUAUCAGGAGGAACACCAAUGGCGAAGGCAGCUCGCUGGAACGGUACUGACGCUGAGGCGCGAAAGCGUGGGGAGCGAACAGG
rnacentral:rRNA from 1 species